GUGCUGUGCUUUUGAGCUUAAAAUAUACUCAGAACAUUCUUUCCCUAUUAGGCCAGUUAUUGGAAGAGCUAUUCUCCUGGGGAAAGAAGUUAGCACCAUCUUUUGGAAUUUGAGGCAAAUGACAGAACAAAGCAUAUCAAAGGGGCUGACUACAAGGCUGGGAGCCAGAGAUCUUCAAGAAGGAGAGCUGUGGAACAAGGAGCAACAACAGGGAGCAGAAAAUGAGGACUGCUGAAUGUAGUAGGGGGCCUACAAAGAUUGCAGGAAACUAUCAAUAUACUGCACCGAGAGAGCAGGAUUGUAAAGAGAAAUGAAAAUGUGGAAACCCAAACACUAAAUGUCCUUUACUGGAGCUCUAUCCAGGGCCGUACUGUAAGUCACAAGGACUUUGCAGGUCUCAGGAGGAAGAGUUCCUCAUUGAUGCUUCUAGCUAGCUGAGGACUGUCCACCAGCAGAAGACUACUGGUGUUUCAACCAGGAAUAAGCCUGCAGGUACGGGAUUGUCUCCUCCUUGGUAAAGAUCACUGCCCUAUUCCUGUGUGAGGGAUGAAACAAAGUUGGCAAAGGAGAGGAGAAAAUCUUCAGGCUCUUCAGUUUUUUUGGGAUUCUGGCUUCCAGCUUCAAGAGAGGAGAGAGACAGUACCCACCCUGCUUCAGGUUGCUGAAGGGAGAAAAAGACUGGAAAAAGCCAACACAAAAGGAGCUGGCAGUCUUCAUCAUGUCCCUAUCUUCAGUUUGCUACACUAGAGACUUCAGGGAAUUUUCUUGGGUGAGAUCUAGGACUCCCUGGAUUGAACUCCCAAUGGGAGAGCUCCUUCACUCUGUAUUGUCUGGUACACAUUUUGUAGGUAUAAUUUCUCUGACUUUUCUUUUGCUGUUAAUUUAGAUAAAUAGAUUUCUUUGCUA